GACGAACGCUGGCGGCGUGCCUAAUACAUGCAAGUCGAACGCUGAAGGAGGAGCUUGCUCUUCUGGAUGAGUUGCGAACGGGUGAGUAACGCGUAGGUAACCUGCCUGGUAGCGGGGGAUAACUAUUGGAAACGAUAGCUAAUACCGCAUAACAGUAGAUGUUGCAUGACAUUUACUUAAAAGGUGCAAUUGCAUCACUACCAGAUGGACCUGCGUUGUAUUAGCUAGUUGGUGGGGUAACGGCUCACCAAGGCGACGAUACAUAGCCGACCUGAGAGGGUGAUCGGCCACACUGGGACUGAGACACGGCCCAGACUCCUACGGGAGGCAGCAGUAGGGAAUCUUCGGCAAUGGACGGAAGUCUGACCGAGCAACGCCGCGUGAGUGAAGAAGGGUGUCGGAUCGUAAAGCUCUGUUGUAAGAGAAGAACGAGUGUGAGAGUGGAAAGUUCACACUGUGACGGUAUCUUACCAGAAAGGGACGGCUAACUACGUG
rnacentral:rRNA from 1 species